rnacentral:rRNA from 1 species
AUUGAACGCUGGCGGCAUGCCUAACACAUGCAAGUCGAACGGCAGCACAGUGUGUAGCAAUACACAUGGGUGGCGAGUGGCGGACGGGUGAGUAAUGCGUAGGAAUCUACCUUCAAGUGGGGGAUAGCCCGGAGAAAUCCGGAUUAAUACCGCAUGUUCUCUACGGAGAAAAGCGGGCCUCGGUUUCAAGCUCGCGCUUGGAGAUGAGCCUACGUCGGAUUAGCUAGUUGGUAUGGUAAAGGCCUACCAAGGCGACGAUCCUUAGCUGGUUUGAGAGGAUGAUCAGCUACACUGGGACUGAGACACGGCCCAGACUCCUACGGGAGGCAGCAGUGGGGAAUAUUGGACAAUGGGCGAAAGCCUGAUCCAGCAAUGCCGCGUGUGUGAAGAAGGCCUGCGGGUUGUAAAGCACUUUUAUCGGGAAAGAAAAGCUUGAAGCCAAUAUCUUCAAGCCCUGACGGUACCCGUUGAAUAAGCACCGGCUAACUCCGUGCCAGCCGCCGCGGUAAGAC